rnacentral:rRNA from 2 species
GGGUGGUAAUGCCGGAUGCUCCGACUCCUCGCAUGGGGUGUCGGGAAAGAUUUCAUCGGUAUGGGAUGGGGUCGCGUCCUAUCAGGUAGUCGGCGGGGUAACGGCCCACCGAGCCUACGACGGGUAGCCGGCCUGAGAGGGCGACCGGCCACAUUGGGACUGAGAUACGGCCCAGACUCCUACGGGAGGCAGCAGUGGGGAAUAUUGCACAAUGGGCGCAAGCCUGAUGCAGCGACGCCGCGUGCGGGAUGACGGCCUUCGGGUUGUAAACCGCUUUUGAUCGGGAGCAAGCCUUCGGGUGAGUGUACCUUUCGAAUAAGCACCGGCUAACUACGUGCCAGCAGCCGCGGUAAUACGUAGGGUGCAAGCGUUAUCCGGAAUUAUUGGGCGUAAAGGGCUCGUAGGCGGUUCGUCGCGUCCGGUGUGAAAGUCCAUCGCUUAACGGUGGAUCUGCGCCGGGUACGGGCGGGCUGGAGUGCGGUAGGGGAGACUGGAAUUCCCGGUGUAACGGUGGAAUGUGUAGAUAUC